UGCAUUAUGGGAAGACUUGUUCACUUCGGGUUGCGUGGUCGAUCAACAACAAUUUGACACUGUUAUUUGACAGUAUUAUACCCUAUUUUCAUCCAAUGAGCACAAGGCGCGGCAUUUUGGAAUAUCAGAUUGAGGCAAAUAAUAGGUCGACCGAUCCCAGACUGCCGUCAUACAGCCAUCUUUAUCACACACACACAGAAAGACAUCAGCUUCUGCAGGCAUUUCUUCAUGCUGGUGAGCUCUUCCCUCCUGCUAUUGUAGCAGAAAAGGCAACAGAGUUUGUGCAAUGUCCGCCUUGGUGGGAGAACUGAGGGAAAUCAUCCUCAGGGCUUUGCCGUCAAAUGAUGAGAACACCACACAGCUUUUGAUCGACAAACUUGUAGGCUCGGGAUUGGAAUCCAAAGAUGAUCUUCAGUAUGUUCAACAAGAAGACAUCAGUGAUAUACUACCAACUAUAAAACUCAGAAAACUUCUCAAUGCUUUUAAAAUGGGUAAUUAUAAUCUCACAUCUUCAUCUAUAUUUCUAUUCAUUUUAAAAUGGCUGAACAUGUAAAAGUGGGUUGUUGAGAGAUGUUAACGGGGUUAUAAUUUUCUAUUCAUCAGAUAUGAGCGUUGUUACUCAGUUUUACUUAAACAAUUUGUUUGCUUGCUUGCGCACUCACCCCAGUAGUGACAUGAACAAUGUGAAUAGUUUUAGAUGUAAACAAUGUCUACAUUUGUAGAAAACCGGCCAUUGUUACCAUGUGUGGAAUUGAAUCAAUUUUAUUCUGUAUAUAUCAAGUUGUGUCUGUACAGAUCAUGUGGAUUUUAACUACCUUUUCAAUAUUUUGUUUUACUCAGAGUCAGAAACUGUCACUUUGGAUCAUACCACUAUGCAGCACACUCCUUCCUUAUCAGCUGGGAGCUCCUCACCACAGCCAUGCUCUUCUAAUAUGUCGGUAACUACUGAUGGAGAAUCAAGCAGUCUUGAAAACAGUCGACUAUCUACAUCCUAUUUUAGGAAAUCGUGGUCAAAUACCUUUCAGGUACCAUGGCAGCUCAUGCCUGCAGAAAUUCAGUCUGCUCUCUCUUCUGGGAAGAGACCUUCACCACCAGCAAGACGACAAAUGGUCAGGGUGCUUGCAGAUGAAAUGAGAAAAUUUGAGCCAACACCAACACGUGCACAGUGUCUUACUAUUUGUAAAGCGAUUGUCCAUCAAUAUCCCCAGAGCUUUGCGGAUCAACUUCAUGAUGGCCAAGUUGUAGGGGAAGGUUACAGCUCACUUUUGGCCCAGAUCAAGAAUAGAAUCGAUAACCUCAGCCGGGCCACUAGCUUCCGACAGCACCGGUCA